CGAAUACAGUGGCGUAUGUAAAAAUGUCGCUCACUCGCUGGCUUAACCGUAAAGAACCUUUUUUUGUUUUAUUAUUGUAAUAGCCACCUUCCUGUUGGUACUGAGUAUUCUUGUGCUUAUCUACCUCAUCUGUUAUGGUGAUUGGUCAAGUUUAAGCACUGGGUUAAAGUGUACAUAUGUGGUGUUAUGUAUUUUGGGACUUGGUAUAAUUGUUUUGAUACUUGGUAAGUUUUAUAUGUAUCAUAAGAGAACUUCACUGAAAAUCGUCA